rnacentral:misc_RNA from 1 species
AAUAAGUUAGGUGCCCUCACGGGCCAACCCUAACCCGUGUUUACAUACCUUUGUUGCUUUGGCAGGCCGCGAUCUCCGCUGCGGGCUUCGGCUUGCACGUGCCUGCCAGAGGACCCCCAACUCUUGAUUUUAGUGAUGUCUGAGUACUAUAUAAUAGUUA